CGGCGCGGAGUUGGGCCCUGGGGCGGCUGAGCAAGGCCGCUUUUGCUUCCCUUAAGCGCGAAGGUGGCGGCGAGCAAAUAGGCAAAACCAAGAUGGAACAGAAGAAUCACCUACUCACACAAUGGAAACUGGCAGGAAGAAGAACCAGGUCCAAAGUACCAUGUAGAAAUUUAAUAGGAAGCCUCUACUGGGCAUACAGGCGCCUAUAGAUUUAGGUGGGUAGCUGUGUUGUCUUUGGUAGAACAGGAUCUGAGGACCCUGAAAAUCUUGUUGUUCUCUAAGGUGCUGCUGGACUCAAAUCUAGCUGCUCCUCUUAUAAGUCACUUCACAACCAUUACUCCCUGGACUGAAUGUCUACAGAACAUUUCUGAACAACAGAAACUAAAAAUUUUACUAUCAGGUCCUGUUCUUACAACCCUGGCAAGAACCUGGAACCUUUAUCUACAGGAUCAUCUUUGCCAAUAUCAACCUGUGUGAUAAUUUAGAACUUGGCAGAGCUUCUUCUCAACUGCUUCCUCUUUCUCUUACAUCCAGCACAACUCAAACUUGGCUAUGCUCGACUCGGGCUCUAGUCCUCUAGAAUGGCUGUCUUGAAGAGGUAAUGAUGACUCUCCCACGCUGGUUUAGUUCUGGAAAUUUUGUAAAACUGUCCUGAUUAA